CGCAAUGGGGGAAACCCUGACGCAGCGACGCCGCGUGGAGGAUGACGGCCUUCGGGUUGUAAACUCCUGUCAGAAGGGACGAAAUCCCGCAAGGGACUGACGGUACCUUCCGAGGAAGCCCCGGCUAACUACGUGCCAGCAGCCGCGGUAAUACGUAGGGGGCAAGCGUUGCUCGGAAUUACUGGGCGUAAAGGGUGAGUAGGCGGUCGGGCAAGUCAAGGAUGAAAUCCCGAGGCUCAACUUCGGAAUUGUUCUUGAAACUGCUCG
rnacentral:rRNA from 1 species